GCCUUCAGGCCACUGGCAUCUGGCCCCUCCCGUGUGGGCUGAAUUGGGUUCGAACAUUUAUAGUUCGUAUCUUAGACUGGGAAGGGAGAGGGACAAAGGAUACAGGAACUAGCAAAUUCCUCCCGCCUCAGUCGGCAAGAAACGCUAUCCAUGGGCUCCAGCUUCGCAGGCCUGCGUGAAACGCGCAGGCGUUGGAGGAGGGCGUGGGAAGGAAAGCCGACGAGAGCUCGGCGUGGGCCAGUGCGCAGGCGCGGGACGCUUGCUGCGCCUUCACUAGCCCAGGACCACACCUGUGGCUCCAAUGCGAGUGUUUUUUUCAGUUUCCUACCUGCAUGGAUUACCUUAAAAAAAUUCAACAUCAGGGAGUACCCAAGUUUGUGGCACAAGCAUGUACUGAGCACUUGCCUUGUGGCAGGCACCGUGAAGUCCCUGGGAUAGAGAGAAUCCAGAGUUUCGCUGCUUUACCCAGGCUGGAAUGCAGUGGCGAGAUCUCAGCUCACUGC